UCGGGAAUAUUGCGCAAUGGAGGAAACUCUGACGCAGUGACGCCGCGUAUAGGAAGAAGGUCUUCGGAUUGUAAACUAUUGUCGUUAGGGAAGAAAAAGGACAGUACCUAAGGAGGAAGCUCCGGCUAACUACGUGCCAGCAGCCGCGGUAAUACGUAGGGAGCGAGCGUUAUCCGGAUUUAUUGGGUGUAAAGGGUGCGUAGACGGGAAAACAAGUUAGUUGUGAAAUCCCUCGGCUCAACUGAGGAACUGCAACUAAAACUAUUUUUCUUGAGUGCAGGAGAGGAAAGCGGAAUUCCUAGUGUAGCGGUGAAAUGCGUAGAUAUUAGGAGGAACACCAGUGGCGAAGGCGGCUUUCUGGACUGUAACUGACGUUGAGGCACGAAAGUGUGGGGAGCAAACAGG
rnacentral:rRNA from 1 species